GGGCAUUUAGCUCCCGAGGCGCUGAACCUUGAGGCCUGAAAUUUCAUGCUCAGGGACACAAUAUACACAU
rnacentral:rRNA from 1 species